rnacentral:rRNA from 1 species
UGGGGAAUUUUGGACAAUGGGGGGAAACCCUGAUCCAGCCAUCCCGCGUGUGCGAUGAAGGCCUUCGGGUUGUAAAGCACUUUUGGCAGGAAAGAAACGUCGCGGGUUAAUACCCCGCGGAACUGACGGUACCUGCAGAAUAAGCACCGGCUAACUACGUGCCAGCAGCCGCGGUAAUACGUAGGGUGCAAGCGUUAAUCGGAAUUACUGGGCGUAAAGCGUGCGCAGGCGGUUCGGAAAGAAAGAUGUGAAAUCCCAGAGCUUAACUUUGGAACUGCAUUUUUUAACUACCGGGCUAGAGUGUGUCAGAGGGAGGUGGAAUUCCGCGUGUAGCAGUGAAAUGCGUAGAUAUGCGGAGGAACACCGAUGGCGAAGGCAGCCUCCUGGGAUAACACUGACGCUCAUGCACGAAAGCGUGGGGAGCAAACAGGAUUAGAUACCCUGGUAGUCCACGCCCUAAACGAUGUCAACUAGCUGUUGGGGUCUUCGGACCUUGGUAGCGCAGCUAACGCGUGAAGUUGACCGCCUGGGGAGUACGGUCGCAAGAUUAAAACUC